UACGUAGGAUGCAAGCGUUGUCCGGAAUUAUUGGGCGUAAAGAGCGCGCAGGCGGUAUGACAAGUCAGAUGUGAAAGAGGCCGGCUUAACCGGCAAGGGUCAUUUGAAACUGUCAGACUAGAGUGCAGCAGAGGAUAGUGGAAUUCCCGGUGUAGUGGUGAAAUGCGUAGAUAUCGGGAGGAACACCGGUGGCGAAGGCGGCGAUCUGGGUCGAUACUGACGCUGAGGUGCGAAAGCGUGGGGAGCAAACAGG
rnacentral:rRNA from 1 species